CCCCCACUCCCCUGAGUUAAACAUUGGUCGCAUCGAGCCGGAUUGAAGCCAUCACUUGCUCUUGCUCCCUCGUUUGCAUGAAGAAAUCAUCGGAUUAUCUCUCAUCAUAUCAUCAACAUACAUAAGACUAAAAAUCAGAUAUUAGUUAACUCUCGGUCUCUGGGCAUAAAUAUUGUAACCAAAACGUUGCCCAAGGCCGGUUUUUGGACACCACGGAUUUUGGCACAAGGUAUACUUCUGGCUGGUGCUGGACGGACAUUUCAAACACAGGACUAACUUUGCUGUCGUUCCAGUAGCCAGGUUACUUGGCUUGGCUUAAACCCUGUCAUGGACACAAUUAUUUCCGCCAAGGAAUUCAACAUAAAUUGGCUGACCUCCUCCAUUCAUAGAAUCGGAGGGGUCAGAGAUGGUUUUAACGGAUGGUGUAAAUGUUGGCGUUGCUUUAACUUGUUCGCACAACCGUAUUCACACACAACAAUAAAACACAAAUGUUAAUUAAACACAAAAACAAAAUUUAAUUAAUUUUUUUUUGGGAGAUUUUCUUCAAAUAUCUUAUAUAGCAAAAUAAAAAAUAUCUCCUUUGCUGAACGCCAAACAAACUGCCUCGAUUUUCCCCCGUUAUGCCUUUUAUAUGGCCGCAGCCAUUUACAAUUUUCCGGGAUUCUCGCGCAAUUUUCCUGAUUCAUCAAAUUACCUUUGUCGUGCCUACUGAGCCCUACAUUGGAGUUGUAUUUCUCGGGUUUAUAUUUUCCACCGGUUGGCAACACUGAUUUCUUCAACCUCUGCAACGAGCUUAACAUAUCCGGUUCACUUUUCCCUGACCGGCAGAAAGCAAACACAUCAUGUCGGGGACUUGCUGCUAAUUAUUUUUUUUUUUUUUUAAUAAAAAAUCACAUGCAACAAAUCCAGUGAAAACGACGGAUAUGGUGAUGUGCAUGUUUUUUCUUUUAACAAUGACUGCGAGGCUUAUAUAAAUUAUCGGGCGAGCCGUUUUGGAGAUCUGGGUGACCACGAGGAAUGUACAAACAAAAAAAUUAAAACAGGCAUGGAACAGAAUACGCAGAAAAACCAUAAGCAAGAUUUUACAAAUAAAAUGUCAUGUGAGUGUGUGUGUAAUCUCAAAAGUGGCGUGGGUUCCACAAAUCUAUUGUUCGUGCAAGUGGUGUGAGUAAUACACCUAUGUGUGAGAGUGUGUUACAACACUCAUUCACUCACACAAUGCAACUGAGUAAAUUCAUGUCGUGUCAUUUCUUUGAAUGGAUUGAAUACACACCACUCAUUGCGGCACUUCACGCAUCACCAAUGUAUUGCACAUUUUCCCAUAACUAACGGAACUCACACAGAAUUCACAGCGUCUUGGAAGUAAGGAAUUCUUUAAAAACACCGUUUACCUAAAAAAAACGCACUUGCGCUUCAGGUAGUGUUGUACCUUUAUUGAUUUCAUCUGCACCUGGCGACGAAAUAUGGGUAACACCAUACAUGGUUAAAAUGUCAGCCCGAACACCUUUCGUUGCAGAGACAAAUGUUUUAGCCACAUAUACAGGCAAUAAAUUUUUAACUUUGUUGAUGUGGGAAAUAAUCAUAAAAAUGUUUCACCGAACCAGACAAGUCACUGUGUGCAAUCUGCACAUCCGUGGUUUUGCUACUUGAGCAAAAAAAAGGAUUCAUAAAUAUUUUCGCAGCACAAUUACAACCCAUAAUUUGUAGAUAUUAGUAAACACUCGGUCUCUGGGCAUAAAUAUUGUAACCAAAGCGUUGCUCAAGGCCGGUUUUUGGACACCACGGAUUUUGGCACAAGAGAUACUUCUGGCUGGUGCUGGACGGACAUUUCAAACACAGGACUAACUUUGCUGUCGUUCCAGUACCAGGUUACUUGGCUUGGCUUAAGCCCUGUCAUGGACACAAUUAUUUCCGCCAAGGAAUUCAACAUUAAUUGGCUGACCUCCUCCGUUCAUAGAAUCGGAGGGGUCAGAGAUGGUUCUAACGGUUGGUGUAAAUGUUGGCGUUGCUUUAACUUGUUCGCACAACCGCAUUCACACACAACAAUAAAACACAAAUGUUAAUUAAACACAAAAACAAAAUUUAA